GAUGGGUUUCGGACCUCUUAAUUUGACAUAAUGUUAAUUUUGCUAAAACAUUAAUACCAGAAUAAGCUCCAUUUUCUGUUGAUUGUUUAAGACGAUACAAUAUCUCUAUAUAUAUCUUUCUAACUAAAUCAAUUGAAAAUUACAUUGACUGGUGAGUAAACGAGUUUUGGAAUUGGAUCAAAGCCAAGAAUCGAGGUUUGGAGUGCCCGGAGCAGAUUAAGAAAAAAAAG
rnacentral:lncRNA from 1 species